rnacentral:rRNA from 1 species
UACAGAGGUCCCAAGCGUUUGUUCGGAUUCACUGGGCGUAAAGGGUGCGUAGGCGGUCGGGUAAGUCUGAUGUGAAAUCUCACAGCUUAACUGUGAAACUGCAUUGGAUACUAUCCGGCUCGAGGAAUGGAGGGGAGACUGGAAUACUUGGUGUAGCAGUGAAAUGCGUAGAUAUCAAGUGGAACACCAGUGGCGAAGGCGAUCAUCUGGGAUUAACCUGACGCUGAGGAGCGAAAGCCAGGGGAGCAAACGGG